GCUGCGCGCUGUCAUGGGUUACGCGUUUUUGUGUCCAGUAUGCUUCGGCGUACGGUAUGCCGUCGCAUGAUGCAGCUGCAUGCGCAGCGCACCCCGAACCCGCUCUGCCACUCCUUCACCAUCCCGGCGGACAGCUUUGAGAGCUUUGUGCCGCAAGGGCAGUCGUGCGAGGUGGCGCACCGCGGCCUGGCGUGGGUGCACCCGCUCUCCCAAGGACUCUUUGAGCAGUACCCGCAGGAGCUGAUGAGCGUCUUCAUCGCGCCUCGGCACGUGUCCAUCUCCGUGUACACGAACGUGGAUUGGUCUAAAAUCGAGUGGAGCAUCAGCAGCUUCCUGGGGCACUACCUCAUCUUUACUAAUGCGUGCAUCUCUCCUGCAAAGGAAUACACCCUCAUCGAGGACGACCUAGAACUGAAGGACACCGACUCCGAGGUGUUACAGUGUAUCAAGGAGCUGCUGCGAGAACAGGUGCGUCCGAUGGUCCAGCGCGACGGAGGCGAUGUGAAACUGCUGAACUUCAACGAGAAAACGGGGAUCGUGUCCCUAGCGAUGCUUGGUGCCUGCAAAACGUGCCCCUCAUCGCAGAACACCCUCAAGGACGGUAUCGAACGCGUCAUGAAGCACUUCUUGCCGGAGGUGACAGAGGUGAUCGAGGACAAGGAGCACCAGUUCUACGAGGACUAUGGGCUCCUUUUCGACUCGGAGAAGGCGCUCUUCAAGGAGGCCGCGCGACUAGAUCGAGAGCGGCAGGCGCAACUUCGACACAAGCUAACCCCCAUGGUUCUCUCCUAUGACGCUCUCAACGAACCGGAUGGCGAUUGAGUGCUGCAGAGACAUGUGUUUGGGUGUGGGCGCGCGUGCGUGUGCGUGUGCGUUCAUGCUUACGCGAAACUGUUGGCUCAAGGGAACCGCUCUGCACUGGGCGUCACCGCGCAGACCCUCGAUGCGCACAAUGCUUAUGCCUGUUUCGCCUUUUGCGUGUUCUCUGCACUUUUUUUUUGUAUCGCGUUGGCGCCUCUUGAAAGCGACCUGCACUGUUGCGUUUUCAGCCUCCCUUCCGUGACUGGGAAUGGGAGAAGAGGGCAACGUCUCCUACCGCCCCCUUCCCCUUGCGCUCCGCAUUUUUGGUCGACCAUCGACAAGGCGGUGAAGUAGAGCGCACAAAAAUGAAAAGCCGCCGAACAAUCAAGAGCGCCUUGCAUCGGCUCUCCCACGACGAAGAGGUGCAUGCAUGCGUGUAUGCUUGUAGGUAUAUCGGUGCGCACCACAAGCGCCCACACGCACAUAGACGCGCAGGUCUGAUGGGGCGUUGUGACAGCGACCGAGCAGCGCCUUGUCGCUCGAGAAUGUAGCUUUUCGCCCCUUUGUGAUGCCGAUUACUACGCCUAAUUCCCUCCCUCCGGAUUGAGCGAUUCGGCUGUCACAAUGGGUACGCGCAGGGUCGUAGAAUCGGUGGAUGUCCCCUUUUGAGCAGCUUCAUCUUCCUAGGGCGUAUUGCCGGCACGUCCCCGCCCACGCAUGUGGUGAUAUCUGCCCUCCCCCUCAUUCUUCUUCUCUCUCUCUAUGCCCUGUUCGAGCCCUUUGCCCAUACACGAAG
rnacentral:misc_RNA from 1 species